AGUGAACGCUGGCGGUAGGCCUAACACAUGCAAGUCGAACGGCAGCACAGUAAGAGCUUGCUCUUACGGUUGGCGAGUGGCGGACGGGUGAGGAAUACAUAGGAAUCUACUUUUUCGGGGGGGAUAACGUAGGGAAACUUACGCUAAUACCGAAUACGACCUACGGGUGAAAGCAGGGGAUCUUCGGACCUUGCGCGAUUGAAUGAGCCGAUGCCGGAUUAGCUAGUUGGCGGGGUAAAGGCCCACCAAGGCGACGAUCCGUAGCUGGUCUGACAGGAUGAUCAGCCACAUUGGACCUAAGACACGGUCCAGAUUCCAACGGGAGGCAGCAGUGGGGAAUAUUGGACAAUGGGCGCAAGCCUGAUCCAGCCAUACCGCGUGGGUAAAGAAGGCCUUCGGGUGGUAAAGCCCUUUUGUUGGGAAAGAAAAGCAGCAGGUUAAUACCCCGCUGUUCUGACGGUACCCAAAGAAUAAGCACCGGCUAACUUCGU
rnacentral:rRNA from 1 species